rnacentral:rRNA from 1 species
UUGGAGGGCAAGUCUGGUGCCAGCAGCCGCGGUAAUUCCAGCUCCAAUAGCGUAUAUUAAAGUUGUUGCAGUUAAAAAGCUCGUAGUUGAAUUUCGGGGUUAGUAGGUUGGUCAUGCCUCUGGUAUGUACUGGUCUCACUGAUUCCUCCUUCCUGAUGAGCCGUAAUGCCAUUAAUUUGGUGUUGCGGGGAAUUUGGACUGUUACUUUGAAAAAAUUAGAGUGUUUAAAGCAAGCUAACGCUUGAAUACAUUAGCAUGGAAUAAUGAAAUAGGACGUUCGAUCCUAUUUUGUUGGUUUCUAGGAUUGACGUAAUGAUUAAUAGGGAUAGUUGGGGGCAUUAGUAUUCAAUUGUCAGAGGUGAAAUUCUUGGAUUUAUUGAAGACUAACUACUGCGAAAGCAUUUGCCGAGGAUGUUUUCAUUAAUCAAGAACGAAAGUUAGGGGAUCGAAGACGAUCAGAUACCGUCGUAGUCUUAACCAUAAACUAUGCCGACUAGGGAUCGGAUGAUGUUAAUUUUUUAAUGACUCAUUCGGCGCCUUACGGGAAAC